rnacentral:lncRNA from 1 species
GCAGAGGCAGGAAGAGGAAGCGGCACCCGCUUCGGGGACCCAGCCGGCGGCCAGGCCACCGCGCCCACCCGGCCGAUGGCACCGUGUUCCUGCGCCUCGGGAGGGAGGAGGCUCUGCGCGGGACUGCAGGUUCUGCCCCGCAUCGGAGUGAUCGCUGAGCCUGACGCUCUCGAAGGCUGGGCCUGGGGCCCGCAAUCUACUCCGGAGGCUUUCCCACUGGGCAGGGUCGCUAGCAGGGAGGAAGCAUUCCCAUGUGAAAGAUGAGCUCCCUAUAAAAGCAACGCUCUUAUCAUCGAGAACAGAAAGUUGAAGCCAAGAGAGAGCUCCACAAGCUGACCUUGUUAAACUAACCCUUAUCUUCUUAGUCGCUUCUUUACCCAAUUAACUACCCUAGCCGAAGCCCCUUUGCCUUAUUACAUUUUGCAACAGUGUUCGUUGUCCAAUUCAGUAUACAAGUGAGUGACUCUGGAUGCUUUUUGGGGUCUUCGUUUCCUUAUGAGGGCUUCUGUGCCAUGUAAAACUUGUAUUAAAUAAAUUUGUAUGCUUUUCUCCUGUUAA